rnacentral:rRNA from 1 species
UCCGGUUGAUCCUGCCAGAGGUUACUGCUAUCGGGGUUCGACUAAGCCAUGCGAGUCGAAUGUAGCAAUACAUGGSGUACUGCUCARUAACACGUGGAUAACCUGCCCUUAGGACGGGGAUAAACCCGGGAAACUGGGUAUAAUACCCGAUAGAUCUCGACUGCUGGAAUGCAUUGAGCUUGAAAGCUCCGGCACCUAAGGAUGGAUCUGCGGCCUAUCAGGUAGUAGUGGGUGUAGCGUACCCACUAGCCUACGACGGGUACSGGUUGUGAGAGCAAGAGCCCGGAGAUGGAUUCUGAGACACGAAUCCAGGCCCUACGGGGUGCAGCAGGCGCGAAAACUUUACAAUGCCGGCAACGGCGAUAAGGGGACCUCGAGUGCCAGGUUACAAAUCUGGCUGUCGUGAUGCCUAAAAAGCAUUGCAUAGCAWGGGCCGGGCAAGACCGGUGCCAGCCGCCGCGGURACACCGRCSGCUCGAGUGGUAACCGUUAUUAUUGGGUCUAAAGGGUCUGUAGCCGGCCGGAUAAGUCUSUUGGGAAAUCUGGCAGCUUAACUGUCAGGCUUUCAGGAGAUACUGUCUGGCUCGAGGCCGGGAGAGGUGAGAGGUACUUCAGGGGUAGGGGUGAAAUCUUGUAAUCCUUGAAGGAUCACCAGUGGCGAASGCGUCUCACCAGAACGGACCUGACGGCWAGGGACGAAAGCUAGGGGCACGAACCGGAUUASAUACCCGGGUAGUCCUGGCCGUAAACGAUACUCGCUAGGUGUCGGCCACKGUGCGACCGUUGUCGGUGCCGUAGGGAAGCCGUGAAGCGAGCCACCUGGGAAGUACGGCCGCAAGGCUGARACUUAAAGGAAUUGGCGGGGGAGCA